rnacentral:rRNA from 1 species
GACGAACGCUGGCGGCGUGCUUAACACAUGCAAGUCGAACGGAAAGGCCCUGCUUUUGUGGGGUGCUCGAGUGGCGAACGGGUGAGUAACACGUGAGUAACCUGCCCUUGACUUUGGGAUAACUUCAGGAAACUGGGGCUAAUACCGGAUAGGAGCUCCUGCUGCAUGGUGGGGGUUGGAAAGUUUCGGCGGUCGGGGAUGGACUCGCGGCUUAUCAGCUUGUUGGUGGGGUAGUGGCUUACCAAGGCUUUGACGGGUAGCCGGCCUGAGAGGGUGACCGGCCACAUUGGGACUGAGAUACGGCCCAGACUCCUACGGGAGGCAGCAGUGGGGAAUAUUGCACAAUGGGCGGAAGCCUGAUGCAGCAACGCCGCAUGCGGGAUGACGGCCUUCGGGUUGUAAACCGCUUUCGCCUGUGACGAAGCGUGAGUGACGGUAAUGGGUAAAGAAGCACCGGCUAACUACGUG